ACAAAAAAAAAUACCUGUGCACCAUCCACCACCUACCUGACAGCUCAGAGUACUGUGCACCAUCCACCAGCUACCUGACAGCUCAGAGUACUGUGCACCAUCCACCACCUACCUGACAGCUCAGAGUACUGUGCAUCAGACAAAAAAUACAAAAAAAAUACAAAAAAAUAAAGAAAAGAAAAAAAACCAAAAAAAAACCUGUGCACCAUCCACCACCUACCUGACAGCUUCAAGUACUGUGCACCAUCCACCACCUACCUGACAGCUCAGAGUACUGUGCAUCAGACAAAAAAAAUAAAAAAAAAAAUAAAGAAAAGAAAAAAAAAAAAAAAAAAUCUGUGCACCAUCUACCAGCUACCUGACAGCUGUAAGUACUGUGCACCAUCCACCACCUACCUGACAGCUCAGAGUACUGUGCACCAUCCACCAUCUACCUGACAGCUCGGAGUACUGUGCACCAUCCACCACCUACUUGACAGCUCAGAGUACUAUGCACCAUCCACCACCUACCUAAUAGCUCGGAGUACUGUUAACCAUCCACCUCCUACUUGACAGCUUGGAGUACUGUGCGCCAUCCACCUCCUACUUGACAGCUCGGAGUACUGUGCACCAUCACCAUUCGGCACAACCUCUGAAGCAGUCAGCCUAUUAUUUCCACCUCCCUCCUCCUGAGGAUCAAGCUCUUCUACAGAGCAGGAGCUGCUGAUGCCGCAUAGAUUGUGACUCCAUCUGACACCGCGGCUCAAACCGGCUACUGACAGCCUAAUGCUACUGUACAACUUCUGUACUACUUGUCUACAAAGAGGAGGACAAGAUGCUGCUGGGAAGACUCAAGAGAUGUCUCCUGAAGAUCACCAAGUUCGUUACCACAACGAGAGCUCCCAGAAUGGCGCAGUCAGGUUUCAUCACAAGACAUCAUCUAAAUCAAGAAGAGCAACAGCAGGGCGCCCUCCAGUGGUAAGCCAUACACCAAUCUUCCCAGGUCCACUGCUUAUGCUUGCCUCUCCAGCUAGUAGCCCUGCUUUAGCAGCCUCCAUAGGCCAUGUACUGUCCCAGCAGUGAGUGGUUUCACUAGAUCUAUACCAGACUGUGCUGAGCGGAGUGCGCCUGCUACUGCCCCUGCCAAGCCCACACCCAUGAGGAGCACAUGUAGAGACCCCGCCAUGUAUCUCACUGGACUCUUCUAUUAAUCUGAAGUGCAGCAAACACCUAGCGGUCUGGAAUUCUUCUGGAGAAAACUAUCCUCAAGGGAAAAAGAGGCUUCACCAACUCUCAUAGAAGAACGGAGCCCGGUAUUCCAUGGAUAGAGACAUUCACCAUGACCACCGACACAGUAACCGCACAUCCAUUGUCUGCAUUGGGGUGAGAUGUUGACUUUAUUAGGAAACCAGGGUCGGC